UACGAGGGGGGCAAGCGUUGUUCGGAAUUAUUGGGCGUAAAGGGCGCGUAGGCGGUUCGGCAAGUCGGGUGUGAAAUUUCGAGGCUCAACCUCGAAACGCCACUCGAUACUGCUGUGACUGGAGUCCGGUAGAGGAGUGCGGAAUUCCUGGUGUAGCGGUGAAAUGCGCAGAUAUCAGGAGGAACACCAACGGCGAAGGCAGCACUCUGGGCCGGUACUGACGCUGAGGAGCGAAAGCGUGGGGAGCAAACAGG
rnacentral:rRNA from 1 species